rnacentral:lncRNA from 1 species
UAGAGUACUGGAACUGAGUGCUAGGAGGUGACAAAAAACUCUCCAAGCAGCUAAACAACAUGGCUUAGGUCUCACAGUGAGCAGGGAGCUGGGACUUGUGCCCAGGAGGCCCGAUCAGAGCCUACCUCCUUAACCAUUACGCCAAACUGCCUCCACAUGCAGAACACUGCCCUGCACUGGGGACCUGGGGGAGGGUAACAGUGUCUGCCCUUGAGCUGCUCCCAAACCUUCCUUGAAUAGCCUUGGCACAAAAUGCAUUUCUUGGGGACUCGCUGACAUGGUGUUUGGAUUUCUAUCGGGUCCCUGAUUGGGCUCAGCAUGGAGCCUGAUGAAAUAUGAAAAAAGCAAAGAAAAUUAAGGGACUAU